CCUACGGGGUGCAGCAGUGGGGAAUAUUGCACAAUGGGGGAAACCCUGAUGCAGCGACGCCGCGUGAGUGAAGAAGUAUUUCGGUAUGUAAAGCUCUGUCAGCAGGGAAGAAAAGGACGGUACCUGAACAGAAAGCCCCAGCUAACUACGUGCCAGCAGCCACGGUAAUACGUAGGGGGCCAGCGUUAUACGGAUUGACGGGGGGUAAAGGGAGCGUAGACGGCAGGGCAAGUCUGGAGUGAAAGGCGGGGGCUCAACCCCCGGACUGCGCUGGAAACUGCCAGGCUGGAGGGCAGGAGAGGUAAGUGGAAUUCCUAGUGUAGCGGUGAAAUGCGUAGAUAUUAGGAAGAACACCAGUGGCGAAGGCGGCUUACUGGACUGUAACUGACGUUGAAGCUCGAAAGCGUGGGGAGCAAACAGGAUUAGAUACCCCAGUAGUC
rnacentral:rRNA from 1 species